GACGAACGCUGGCGGCGUGCCUAAUACAUGCAAGUCGAGCGAGACUCUUCGGAGUCUAGCGGCGGACGGGUGAGUAACACGUGGGCAACCUGCCUGUAAGACUGGGAUAACACCGGGAAACCGGUGCUAAUACCGGAUAAUCCUUUUCCUCUCAUGAGGAAAAGCUGAAAGACGGUUUCGGCUGUCACUUACAGAUGGGCCCGCGGCGCAUUAGCUAGUUGGUGAGGUAACGGCUCACCAAGGCGACGAUGCGUAGCCGACCUGAGAGGGUGGUCGGCCACACGGGGACUGAGACACGGCCCAGACUCCUACGGGAGGCAGCAGUAGGGAAUCUUCCACAAUGGACGAAAGUCUGAUGGAGCAACGCCGCGUGAGCGAUGAAGGCCUUCGGGUCGUAAAGCUCUGUUGUUAGGGAAGAACAAGUACCGGAGUAACUGCCGGUACCUUGACGGUACCUAACCAGAAAGCCACGGCUAACUACGUGCCAGCCGCCGCUGUAAAAC
rnacentral:rRNA from 1 species